rnacentral:rRNA from 1 species
GAUCCUGGCUCAGGAUGAACGCUAGCUACAGGCUUAACACAUGCAAGUCGAGAGGCAUCAGUUUGGUUUGCUUGCAAACCAAAGCUGGCGACCGGCGCACGGGUGAGUAACACGUAUCCAACCUGCCUCAUACUCGGGGAUAGCCUUUCGAAAGAAAGAUUAAUAUCCGAUAGCAUAUAUUUCCCGCAUGGGUUUUAUAUUAAAGAAAUUCGGUAUGAGAUGGGGAUGCGUUUCAUUAGUUUGG